CAAGAGGUAGUUUAAAUAAAAUAUUAAUUUUGGAUAUUAAAGAAGUCUGCUCUCUUGACUA
rnacentral:tRNA from 1 species